CCUACGGGAGGCAGCAGUGGGGGAUAUUGCACAAUGGGGGAAACCCUGAUGCAGCGACGCCGCGUGAGUGAAGAAGUAUUUCGGUAUGUAAAGCUCUAUCAGCAGGGAAGAAAAAAGACGGGAACGGACGAAGAAGCCCCGGCUAACUACGUGCCAGCAGCCGCGGUAAGACGUAGGGGGCAAGCGUUCUCCGGAUGUACGGGGUGUCAAGGGAGCGUAGACGGCAAUACCAGUCGGAAGUGAAAUACCCGGGCUCAACCUUGGAACUGCGUUGGAAACUGUAUGGCUGGAGUGCUGGAGAGCUCAGCGGACUUCCUCUUGUCGCGGUGAACUGCG
rnacentral:rRNA from 1 species